GUGCCAGCAGCCGCGGUAAUACGGAGGGUGCGAGCGUUAUCCGGAUUCACUGGGUUUAAAGGGUGCGUAGGCGGGUUAGUAAGUCAGUGGUGAAAUCCCCGAGCUUAACUUGGGAACUGCCGUUGAUACUAUUAGUCUUGAAUAUCGUGGAGGUAAGCGGAAUAUGUCAUGUAGCGGUGAAAUGCUUAGAUAUGACAUAGAACACCAAUUGCGAAGGCAGCUUGCUACACGAUUAUUGACGCUGAGGCAAGAAAGCGUGGGGAUCAAACAGGAUUAGAUACCCUGGUAGUCCACGCCCUAAACGAUGAUUACUCGACAUCAGCGAUACACUGUUGGUGUCUAAGCUAACGCAUUAAGUAAUCCACCUGGGAAGUACGAUCGCAAGAUUGAAACUCAAAUGAAUUGGCGG
rnacentral:rRNA from 1 species